UAAACUUUUUUCCUCUUUCUUCGCAAUUGCCUCGUUCAAUUGGAUUCGCAAUUUCUCGUUAAUCAAUUGGUUUGAUUAACAAUGCUUAUUUCUUAUUUAAUAUUUAUGGCGUGCAUAAAGGAAGAGGGAAUGAUAGGAAAUAAAUCUCUGCUGUACUUGGUGAUUUCCAGCAGGCCAUACAUUCUACGAUGGCAUUCUGAUUGUAACCAGGUGUGUGCUAAUGAAGAGGGAAUGAUAGGAAAUAAAUUUCUGCUGUACAUGGUGAUUCUCCAUCAUUAUUGAUCCCAAAAUCCUCGACUUUCAUCCAGUCAUAAUGACCUCAUUUACUAUGACUUUGGCUAGGCCAUGUAUUCUGCCAAUGAUCGUAUCGAAAGGAAACGACCAUGUCGCCAUGUCUUCUCGAUACAAAACUCGUGAGGACACCGCUGUUAUUUGCA